CUAGAGACCGGCGCACGGGUGCGUAACGCGUAUGCAAUCUACCUUUCACAAAGGGAUAGCCCAGAGAAAUUUGGAUUAAUACCUUAUAGUAUAACGACUUCGCAUGGAGAUGUUAUUAAAGAUUUAUCGGUGAAAGAUGAGCAUGCGUCCCAUUAGCUAGUUGGUAAGGUAACGGCUUACCAAGGCUACGAUGGGUAGGGGUCCUGAGAGGGAGAUCCCCCACACUGGUACUGAGACACGGACCAGACUCCUACGGGAGGCAGCAGUGAGGAAUAUUGGUCAAUGGGCGCAAGCCUGAACCAGCCAUGCCGCGUGCAGGAUGACGGUCCUAUGGAUUGUAAACUGCUUUUGUACAGGAAGAAACACUCCCUCGUGAGGGAGCUUGACGGUACUGUAAGAAUAAGGAUCGGCUAACUCCGUGCCAGCAGCCGCGGUAAUACGGAGGAUCCAAGCGUUAUCCGGAAUCAUUGGGUUUAAAGGGUCCGUAGGCGGCUUAAUAAGU
rnacentral:rRNA from 1 species